AGAGUUUGAUCCUGGCUCAGAUUGAACGCUGGCGGCAGGCCUAACACAUGCAAGUCGAGCGGUAACAGGGGUAGCUUGCUACCCGCUGACGAGCGGCGGACGGGUGAGUAAUGCAUAGGAAUCUGCCCGAUAGUGGGGGAUAACCUGGGGAAACCCAGGCUAAUACCGCAUACGUCCUACGGGAGAAAGGGGGCUUUGGCUCCCGCUAUUGGAUGAGCCUAUGUCGGAUUAGCUAGUUGGUAAGGUAAUGGCUUACCAAGGCAACGAUCCGUAGCUGGUCUGAGAGGAUGAUCAGCCACAUCGGGACUGAGACACGGCCCGAACUCCUACGGGAGGCAGCAGUGGGGAAUAUUGGACAAUGGGGGCAACCCUGAUCCAGCCAUGCCGCGUGUGUGAAGAAGGCCCUCGGGUUGUAAAGCACUUUCAGCGAGGAAGAACGCCUGUCGGUUAAUACCCGGUAGGAAAGACAUCACUCGCAGAAGAAGCACCGGCUAACUCCGUGCCAGCAGCCGCGGUAAUACGGAGGGUGCAAGCGUUAAUCGGAAUUACUGGGCGUAAAGCGCGCGUAGGUGGCUUGAUAAGCCGGUUGUGAAAGCCCCGGGCUCAACCUGGGAACGGCAUCCGGAACUGUCAGGCUAGAGUGCAGGAGAGGAAGGUAGAAUUCCCGGUGUAGCGGUGAAAUGCGUAGAGAUCGGGAGGAAUACCAGUGGCGAAGGCGGCCUUCUGGACUGACACUGACACUGAGGUGCGAAAGCGUGGGUAGCAAACAGGAUUAGAUACCCUGGUAGUCCACGCCGUAAACGAUGUCGACCAGCCGUUGGGUGCCUAGAGCACUUUGUGGCGAAGUUAACGCGAUAAGUCGACCGCCUGGGGAGUACGGCCGCAAGGUUAAAACUCAAAUGAAUUGACGGGGGCCCGCACAAGCGGUGGAGCAUGUGGUUUAAUUCGAUGCAACGCGAAGACCUUACCUACUCUUGACAUCCUGCGAAUUUGGGUAGAGAUACCUUAGUGCCUUCGGGAACGCAGAGACAGGUGCUGCAUGGCUGUCGUCAGCUCGUGUUGUGAAUGUUGGUUAGUCCCGUAACGAGCGCAAACCCUUGUCCUUAUUUUGCCAGCCGCGGUAAUU
rnacentral:rRNA from 1 species